UACUAAAAAUAAAAAAAUUAGCUGGGCGUGGUGGUGGGCGCCUGUAACCCCAGCUACUUGGGAGGUUUAGGCAGGAGAAUCGCUUGAACCCUGGAGGUGGAGGUGGAGGUUGCAGUGAGCCGAGAUCGCGCCAUUGCACUCCAACCUAGGUGACAAAGCUACACGCCAUCUCAAAAAAAAAAAAAAAAAAAAAAAAAAAGGGGUUACAGAAGGUUCCCAGCUCCGGGGCAUCAGCCUGAGUGCGCUUGAGCUGCUCCAAACCUGGCCCUUCCCCACUCCUCUAGCAUCGCCACCCGCAUGGCCCUGGAACUCCCGCGGCGGCGGGGGCGGGCCCGUGCCUGCUGUGCCCCGACUUCCCACACCAGCCGCGCCCACCGCAGGUGGGACUCAGGUCGCGGCGCUUCCCGCCUCAUCCUCGGCUGCAUGGGGCGGGGGGGCUGUUUUUAACGUGCCCGUUUGUACUGAUGCAUGAACUUGUCAAUAAACACAAUUGUUUGUUAA